UCAGCCGUAACCCCACCCACCAGGAGAACACAUGACACUCUCUACCAACACUCUCACGAAGUAGCGGUUAAGAAACCACUCGCCUUUGAUAUAUAUAAAGCAGUUCUUGUCAAUGCGGUUAUUUCAUUUCCCUGUCACGCGGCAGGUCCCUGCAUUGUGUGCCACUGUGGCUACACAUACAGCGAGCCAUGGCUGAUUUUGAAAUAGCAAUUGCGAUUGUUUCACUUCCCUGUCUCUCGACCCCUUGCUUGUGUUGUUCUGUUACUUGUAAGGAUAUGGUUUGACAAUGACACGGGUAGUACUUGAUCAAAUGUUUGGCAACCACAGACAAGUGACUCAAAGAAGAAGAGGCACAUGUGGUAAUAUAACAUUUUCGAACUUUAUGUGUGGACUUCGAAGACGCUAAAACAGCCAUGACUAUCAGACGUGUAUUUGUUGUGACAGUGUUCAUAGCGUAUGGGUAUUACAUUAUGUCAACAGACGGUUCCUGGAAACAGAUGUAUAGAAGAUUUGACGAAAGUCUUUAUAGUACAGCUUCAUUGUUCUGUCGAUGAGCGGGUACAUGUCGUGCACGAGGUGUAUGGGGAUGGAGAUACAGCGACAUGUCGUCUGAAAUCUGCAGAGGCUUGUAGUAAGCUCCUCAGCAGCAGCCAGCAUGGUCUGAUCGUCAACUGUAAUGGGAAACAGUCAUGUCGUGAAGCCAUGCAUAUACACCCCAUCAACAACUGCAAUAUUACCGAUGCUGCUGCUGAAAUAAAGUACAACUGUAUCAAAGGUAGUAUGAACAUGUGUAGUUCAGUCACAACAACAGUAAACGGGGCGGUGUAGCUCCAUUCUCCCGGCUUCCCUGACAGUGUCGGUGUGAACAGCAGCUGUGUUGUCAGGAUCACAGGGCAGACUUUGCAAGUAACAUUGGUAGAACAGCGGAUGAGGUCAGGGAUGCUUAACAUCUCAGGUGACGGAAGACAACUCUGGACAAACGUGAACGUGAACCAGUACAACAGGGUAUUACCGGAAACAGCUGCCGAAAUAGUUAUAGUCUACGAUAACCAUAAUCAUGAUGGGUCAAAUCUAUGGAUACGUAUUGAUGAUUCAGAAAUACUGGAUGCAUCAACUACAUCAACGUCAACACAUCAGCCGUCACGUUCACAGAGUACAUCCGAUCCAAGUACUUCGGACACACCAAUAACUGAAACAACGACACGUGCACAAUCUACAGCUAUUGGCAACAGUGGGGAUGUUGUGAUAGCCGUAUCUGUGGUGUGUGCGGGAUUCUGGUGGUCAUCAUUGUAGUCCCUCGUCAUAUAUUUCAUGGUGGCGAAGCCCUUCAGGAAGAAGCCAUGACACUUCAUCGAAUACUGGAAUGUCUGUCUGGGCAUGGUGACACAAAUGUCUACAAUGGAAUACAACGUAUUACAAGCGACGCUGGUAACGAACACAACUACGGCCACAUAACCAGCGGUGAAAGGCCCUUCUCUGCCAACUCUGUCAGUGGAGAUGAUCCAUAUGUUAACACAUAGACGUUAGUGCUACUCAGUAGUAGAUAUAGUAACAUAAAUCAUUAUGUACUCUGUAUAUUCACUUUGAAACCAGUCAACGUUCUUUAUGAAAGCGAAUAUGUGUUUUAUAAAGUAUAUAAUCUAAACGUUUCUUUGUACAUUAUUUCUCUAAACAAACUGUGUUUCAUAUUCUACAUUAUGUUUCACAGUAUUCACUUGCCAAUUAGUCCUUGCUUGUUCUUUAUUAAAGUUUUAAAAGUUUCAUUCAUAGCCUGACCAGUCACCAUGCCUAAUAAAUGCGAAUUGAUUUAGUGUAUCUACUUUGUUAUGAACAAAUCAUCUGAGCUGUGAA